rnacentral:rRNA from 1 species
UAGGGAAUAUUGGUCAAUGGACGCAAGUCUGAACCAGCCAUGCCGCGUGCAGGAAGACGGCCCUCUGGGUUGUAAACUGCUUUUGAUAGGGAACAAAUGCCACUUGCGAGUGGAGCUGAGUGUACCUAUAGAAUAAGCACCGGCUAACUCCGUGCCAGCAGCCGCGGUAAUACGGAGGGUGCAAGCGUUGUCCGGAUUUAUUGGGUUUAAAGGGUGCGUAGGCGGCCUAAUAAGUCAGUGGUGAAAGCCUCCAGCUUAACUGGAGAACUGCCAUUGAUACUGUUGGGCUUGAGUAUACUUGAGGUAGGCGGAAUUGACAGUGUAGCGGUGAAAUGCAUAGAUAUUGUCAAGAACACCAAUUGCGAAGGCAGCUUACUAAAUUAUAACUGACGCUGAGGCACGAAAGUGUGGGUAUCAAACA